AUGGAUAUAGAAAGCGACAUGUCCAUGUUACCCCCUAAGAAGAAACCAAGGAUGAGAGGUCAUCCGAAAACUGCAAGAGACAAGCCAAAUUACGAAAUAAAUGACAAGCGAUCGGGGUUUUGCACCAUUUGCCGUGGGAAGGGGUACAAAAGAACUAUAUGCCCUCAAAGGGGCAACGAACCGCAGAAGCCCAGGAAGAUUCCGACAUGUACAAAUUGUGGCAUAGCCGGUCAUCAUAGGAAUACGUGUUCAGAAGUGUUGUACUCUACAUUGGAUGGGGUGCACUCUGUAGGAUGCAUCUGA
rnacentral:rRNA from 1 species